UAUCUCUGUAGAGUCUGCAUAUCAAUAAGCGGAGGAAAAGAAACUAACUAGGAUUCCCUCAGUAACGGCGAGUGAAGCGGGAAGAGCUCAAAUUUGAAAUCUUCAAGGUUCUACCUUGACGAAUUGUAGUUUAAAGAAGUGUUUUCUGUUGGAGUUUUGGUAAAAGUUCUUUGGAAUAGGACAUCAUAGAGGGUGAGAAUCCCGUAUUUGACCAUUAUUUCCAGCUUUGUGAUACACUUUCAAAGAGUCGGAUUGUUUGGGAAUGCAGUCCAAAAUGGGUGGUAAAUUUCAUCUAAAGCUAAAUGAUUGGCGAGAGACCGAUAGCGAACAAGUACCGUGAGGGAAAGAUGAAAAGAACUUUGAAAAGAGAGUUAAACAGUACGUGAAAUUGUCAAAAGGGAAGCGUUUGACACCAGUGUUGUUUUCUCGAAAAUCAAUUAAAAAUGGCGGGAUUUUGUGUUGUAUUGACUUUAUCAGCUUUCUGCACUCUUUUCCUGUCUUUUUUAAUGCACUUUUCGUUUAACAAGUCAACAUCAAUUUCUUUUGUUGUAAAAGAGUCAUUGGAAGGUGGCUUUCUUUUCGGAGAAAGUGUUUAUAGCCUUUGGCUUCUGCAAUCGGAGAGAUUGAGGUCUGCAGCGUAGAUCCUUCGGGGUUAGAUACAUUUGUGCUAAGUUAUAGCCUUUCAUAGACAACUUGUUGACUAUGAUCAGUCAUGUAGCUUACUCGCUUAUGCUAUUUUACCUACGCUUAGGAUGUUGAGUCAUCACACAUCUCU
rnacentral:rRNA from 1 species